GUCUCGGUAGUGUAAGGGAUAAGAGGACGGUCCCCGGAAAGGACAAGUACAGGUUCGAGUCCUGUCCGAGACU
rfam:Haemonchus contortus, ISE/inbred ISE, WGS project CAVP01000000 data, contig: Hcontortus_29005